rnacentral:misc_RNA from 1 species
AUAAUAAUAAUAAUAAUAAUAUUUUCAACAAUUUUUUAAAAAUAACCCAACUAAAAUCUACAAAGCCUAAUCCCACUCAGCAGGGUGAAAUAGAUGAAUUUCUUGUGUUUUCCAUUUUAUCCAAGGCAACAUCCUCUAUUAGAUAUUGAAGUAUGAUCCUUCUUAUUAUUCUAGUUUACAAUCUUUUAAGGUCUUCCUCUUAUUCAUCAAGGCAUCAUUUACACAUUUUCAAAAUGAUUAAAACAAAAUUUCCUCCUCUAGCACUGAAGGUAAAUAUUAGAUUCGGUCCCAUGUAUUUGAUCCAAAUUAGAUAAAUAAAACCAAAUUAACAAUAUUAAAUUCAAUAACAGAAACUAAUCAAACUGAGGUCGGUUUAUGCAAUUUUGGCCUUUUUUUAUUACUUUUAUUUUUCAUCCCAAAAUUAAAAGGAGCUGUUAAAUUGGGCUUCAAUUCAGGACAAAAGUUUAAUAAUAUAAAACUCCUAUAAUUUACUAAAUAUAACAAGGUUGAUUACAAGAUCAAUUUGAAUUAUGUUAUUAUUCCAAAACAGAAAUAGCAAGCUAAAUCACAUUAAAUAAAAUGCAUCAGCUUGAUUUGGUAACCAAUUUAAACUGUAUACUGCUAGCCCUCAUGUCAAUCCGAAUUGUCUACAUAUACAUUCAUUUAUUUCCUUAAUCUACCCUUUAAAUAUUAUAGCUUAACCACCAUAGCAUCUUUAUGUUGAAUUUCUUCCAUUUUGGUUAGCUUGCCUAUAAUGCCACAUAUGCCUCUUCACUUCAUUAGAAAGAACAACAGCAACAAAAUUAAAGGGAGGAAUUCUUCACUGAUCUAGCAGAAGUAUCUUGCCUACUUAGAAAUCCUUUCUAGUUAGUUAUCCAUUUUGAAUAAAUUUCCUCAAUCAGAAUCUUAAAUAAAAUAGACUUCACAGUUCAGAUUGCUUCAGUCUCUACCAAACAACAAGAGUCGCUCCCUACUUAGAUUUGUUAUUCAGUUUCUCUUAAUGGAGAGAGGACAUUAACAUAUAGUACAAUUGGCAACGUUUCCCAUUCUUCCAACUUCCAAGAUAAUUUUUCUAUGUUCAAUUAGCCUACAAGUCUGUCCUUUUAGCAAUGAAUUGAAAGUUGCUGAUAUACCACACGAACUUUUUUGAAACAAGCCAAUAGAUAGAUAUACACACCAAGUCUUUUAUGAAUUGACUUGAUGAUACGCUUUAUUUUCACUUGUUCAUAAAUCACUAUAUCCCUUUUCAAACAAUCACGUGUGCGUUGUUAUCAUUCCAUACCCAGUGUUUGCAUAUAUUUGUAAAAGGAGAUAGACAAGCCAUAAUAGCCAGUUUAUGUUUAACUUAUCAUUUCCAACUACCAUAGCAUACAAAUGUCAAAGAGCAUGACUCCAAAAUAACUAUUGCACUAAAAAAAAAAUAAAGUCAAAAAGCAAAUCAAAGCUAAACAAGAGAAGCAACAAUUAAAAUUAUUAAACAAUAAGAUAGCACUGAUAAAAUUUAAGAUUAUACAAAAGAUAGUUCUCGUAUCACCAAAUAACACUAUAAUUAGGAAGUAUCUGGUACUGGAAUUAGUGCAAAUGAAUACGUAGGUUAUACACACCAAAUUUCAUCAUCACCAGUCAACUCGAUCUAAAGCUAUAUCAUUGAAUUUUAGUCAAUCAUCAUCUCUCUCUCCCUCUCUCUCUCUCCCUCUAUUUUGGUUGGUGAAGAGAUGCCCAUGCGUUGCAUUUUAACAUGGUAUGCUGGUCCCCUAUAAUAUUCGCAUCUUGCUCUACACUUGCACUGAUUCGCAUUUGUUUUCUUGUUGCUGUAAAAUUUAAUGAAUGUGGUUGUGCAAAAUCCAUCUUCUGGGUCUGUUUUUGUCUUUCGAAGGGGAAGUUUCUUGGUUCCUGAAAGAGAAAUUAUGGUUCAUCAACUAUCAAAUUCGUCCCAUCAAGGUAGAGAUUGUGUAGAAAGCUGUGAAUUCCAUAUCCCACAAAAAUACUACCAAGAAGCUUAAUUAUUCUUACUGUUUUUGUUGUUGUUUGGUUGUACUAUAGAAGUCGGGAGGUGGUGUGAGGGAGAGAAAGCAUUUCCAUUAAAGAAGAGGAGAGGGAACUUUGAAAGAUCAAAAGAAGAAACAACAGUAGCGAAAGAUAAGAAAAUGAAGACAAAAAUGAACAAGAAAUGCCUGCAACGAAAUGCCAAUCCAGAAGUAGUAGAUAAAGAAGACAAGGAAACCAAAGAGGGUAUUGAUGCUGCUAAUACCAGUACUGUUAAAAAGAGAGUUAGAGGCGGUGGACUUAUGGAGGGAUCGAGGUGCAGUCGUGUGAAUGGGAGAGGAUGGAGAUGUUGCCAACAAACCCUUGUGGGAUACUCUCUUUGUGAACAUCAUCUGGGAAAAGGAAGGCUAAGAAGCAUGACCAGCGUACGUAGCCGAGCCGUGGCAAGUACCGCAUCAAAGAAGGUCAUGUCAUUCCAGCCAUUACCAGCAAGCACCUCAUUAUCAUCAGAAGAAAAAGAACAAAAACAUCUUUUGUCAGACAAUAAACUUGAUGGCGAAGUUGAAGAAGGCAAUGACGAAAAGAAACCAUUAAUUAUUUCAAAGAAGAAAAUGAAACUAGGCAUAGUGAAAGCUAGAUCAAUAAGCAGCUUGUUAGGCUAAGAAAACCAUGCAAUUGCAGCAGCAGAGAAUAACUUGUAGGACUUGCAGCAAAGUUUGAACGCAGAAUCAGGAUCAUUACAUGUUCUUAUUUGAAAGAAAGUGAAGAAUUGAGACUCAUAUUGCACCUAGUGCAACAAUUUUUAAGUCAUUUGGUGCUUGAGAUUCUUUAAGAAGAACAAAUGGAUGCUUGCUAAAGUGUUUUUCUUAAUAUAAGUUUCUUUCCAUUGUUAGUGUUUUGUCUAGUGCUCUCUUUAUGGGCAACGGGGGCAGAAUCAGGAUCAUUACAUGUUCUUAUUUGAAAGAAAGUGAAGAAUUGAGACUCAUAUUGCACCUAGUGCAACAAUUUUUAAGUCAUUUGGUGCUUGAGAUUCUUUAAGAAGAACAAAUGGAUGCUUGCUAAAGUGUUUUUCUUAAUAUAAGUUUCUUUCCAUUGUUAGUGUUUUGUCUAGUGCUCUCUUUAUGGGCAA